CGAACAGUAACGGUACCCUCACACCUCCCUUAGAAGGAGGGGGCCGCUGGUUCGAAUCCAGCAUCGGCCA
rnacentral:tRNA from 1 species